rnacentral:miRNA from 1 species
UUGGGCCGGGAUGUAGAUCAGGUUUGCCCACUUGUUUGAGAAAGACGUUCCAGUGAGGAACCCUGAUCUCUCUGCCCCAA